rnacentral:rRNA from 1 species
GAUGAACGCUGGCGACGUGCCUAAUACAUGCAAGUCGAGCGAAUGGAUUAAGAGCUUGCUCUUAUGAAGUUAGCGGCGGACGGGUGAGUAACACGUGGGUAACCUGCCCAUAAGACUGGGAUAACUCCGGGAAACCGGGGCUAAUACCGGAUAACAUUUUGAACCGCAUGGUUCGAAAUUGAAAGGCGGCUUCGGCUGUCACUUAUGGAUGGACCCGCGUCGCAUUAGCUAGUUGGUGAGGUAACGGCUCACCAAGGCAACGAUGCGUAGCCGACCAGGGAGGGUGGACGGCAACAGUGGGACUGGGACACGGCCCAGACUCCUACGGGAGGCAGCAGUAGGGAAUCUUCCGCAAUGGACGAAAGUCUGACGGAGCAACGCCGCGUGAGGGAUGAAGGCUUUCGGGUCGUAAAACUCUGUUGUUAGGGAAGAACAAGUGCUAGUUGAAUAAGCUGGCACCUUGACGGUACCUAACCAGAAAGCCACGGCUAACUACGUGCCAGCCGCCGCGGUAA